rnacentral:misc_RNA from 1 species
UUAACUAUUAAGUUUGUAACUAAGACAUCAUAUUUAAUCAAGAAUUUGAAGGGGCCACUGACGGGCACGGGCCAAAAGUCUGGUUGAGGCCAAACUUCCGGCGGUCGUGAGACGGGCCCGCCAAAGCAACAUGGUAAUUGAACAAAGGGUUGGAGAUCGGGCCCGGAGACCCUUACUCUUUAAUGAUCCUUCCGCAGGUUCACCUACGGAAA